ensembl:lncRNA
UAUACAUAUAUAUAUACACACAUACAUACAUACAUACAUACACUGCUGAUUUUGUAAGUUUGCCCACUUACAAAGAAAUGAAGAGGCUGUAAUUUUUUUUAGCGUAUAGAGACAGAAUAUCAACCCAAAAAUCCAGAAAAAAAAAAAAAAAAAAACUAUAUAUAAAGGUUAGAAAUUGAUUUGCAUUUCCGUGAGUGAAAAAAGUAUUUGAUCCCCAAACAAAACAUGACGUAGUACUUGGUGCAGAAACCCUUGUUGGUAAGCACAGAGGUAAGACGUUUUUUUGUAGAUGAUCAUCAGGGGCCUCGUAUCAACUCUGCGUACGCCAUCUUUCAUACUCACGGUCAGAUGUACUAACAGUGAAAUUAACAUGAGAAUGUGCGUUCCUCCACGCCAACUUCAUGUCUGGUGUACAUACAUUUCUCGUGGUUUUUGUCCGUUGGUGACUCCUAGAGGCAAUGAAGUGAACUUGCAAACAUUAGACUACAAGUCUAUCACACCACCCCCUGUGAGAAACAUUGCUAUUAAUCUGUAAUUAAUAAAUUAAUUGACAUACUAUUGUCACACGAGGCUCUAUCAAUCAUGCAAUCAAGUAAGAACAUAUAAAAGCAUGUGCAAAUUGAUAAACUUGGUCUAUAUGGCAAUGGCAGUGUUAGCCUUAUUAGAGGACAUUGCCAAUGGCAGAAUCCAAAGAGAACAAGUUUUAAGGGACCACAAUGAUUUUCUGGCGCACAAUGAUAUCUGGCUUAUCAGCCAUUUCAGAUUUCCAAGGGCUAUCCUCUUUGAGCCAUGCAUUACCCGUUCCCUUACAGGUGCUGACAACACAACUGGUUCUUUCCAAAGGGAACUGGCAGACUGUCUUUGAGCUGCACAACACCAGCUGUAUGGGAUGGGAUCAUCCGCUUGUCUACCAGGUAUACAAGGGUCCCAUACGAUGCAGUUGACCAGCCACUCACCGCCCUGACAAGGUGUGCCGCAUCGUGCUGGCCUGUGGUGAGGUGGUGGCACCAUGACACCGACCCAGGACCAGUGUAUGUGUAGCCCAACCAACAAGCCAUUCAGGUGACUCUUAAUUUCUAUGAUGGCCAUAUGAUUUGGUGUUGUGACUCCAGAACAGCAUGCGUCAAGACGUGGCCAGAUGGACAGGCCUCAGCACUGGGGGGAGCACUGGAGACGCCGGACACACUGGGCCCUGGCUGCUCAGGAGGGGCAGACUCCGAGUGCGUGCCAGCGUACGUUCCUGCUGUUGCACCAUAUAAGUCCAAAUAAACACAGGCACGUUAACUGUGAUUUGAGUCUGUUCCUUAUUAGUGAGUACACACAUUUGCCAUAAAUUCAAUGGAUAUGUAAAAUCUCUGGUGUAAGGUACUCCUGGUCAGCUAUAUUUCAUGGAUUUGAAAAUUAAAUGCAGUCUGGUAAACUAUGUGUACCAAAGUUAAGCAAAUAAAUGAGAAAUUAGUUACCUUCGUGUCAGUCCUGUAAAUCCGAGUCUGCCACAGGAACAGAUACAACUCCAGAGAGUAAAGUGUCUCCCACAAUAGAGGCAUCUCUCUGCUCAAAGGGUGUAAGUGCAUCGACCCCUGUACCACUUCCUGUUCUUCCCACACUUUGUCAGUACGC